UCCAGACUCCUACGGGAGGCAGCAGUGAGGAAUAUUGGUCAAUGGGCGGAAGCCUGAACCAGCCAAGUCGCGUGAGGGAAGAAGGCCCUGCGGGUCGCAGACCUCUUUGGACGGGGAGCAAGGCCGCCGACGUGUCGGCGGAAGGAGAGUACCCGUAGAACAAGCAUCGGCUAACUCCGUGCCAGCAGCCGCGGUAAUACGGAGGAUGCGAGCGUUAUCCGGAUUUAUUGGGUUUAAAGGGUGCGUAGGCGGGCUGUUAAGUCAGCGGUCAAAUGUCGGGGCUCAACCCCGGCCUGCCGUUGAAACUGGCGGCCUCGAGUGGGCGAGAAGUAUGCGGAAUGCGUGGUGUAGCGGUGAAAUGCAUAGAUAUCACGCAGAACUCCGAUUGCGAAGGCAGCAUACCGGUGCACAACUGACGCUCAGGCACGAAAGCGUGGGUAUCGAACAGGAUUAGAUACCCUAGUAG
rnacentral:rRNA from 1 species